CUCACAUGUGAUCUUUUAAGUAUGAGAAAACUCAGCCAAAAGAUUGUUGAGUAUUCUCAAAGGAGGGAGUUGUUGGUGUCACUAAGCAUAACCCUAAGUAACUUGGGAGGGUGGAAGGCCACAAGGGUAUGGAGCCUUCCUGGU